AAGGUUUUAAGUUAAUCAAACUGUAAGCCUUCAAAGCUUAAAAUAAAGACAUAUCUUUAAACCUUGCCCACC
rnacentral:tRNA from 1 species